rnacentral:snRNA from 1 species
AGCACUUCUUGGCCCUUUGGUUGAGAUCAAGUGUAGUAUCUGUUUUUUACCAGUUAAUCUCCCAAAGGCAGAGAGCAGACACGAAUUUGGUUCCAUGGUACCAGGUUUGGAGUCCACGAUAAACCAUAGUUUCCUUACCAGAAACAGAAGAGAUUGCUACUGAUUUGGCACCUACUAUGUGUCAGGCCAUCAUAUUAUAAGGGGCUUUGACAUACCUUUU